GGGUUGUGAGGUUAAGCGACUAAGCGUACACGGUGGAUGCCCUGGCAGUCAGAGGCGAUGAAGGACGUGCUAAUCUGCGAUAAGCGCCGGUAAGGUGAUAUGAACCGUUAUAACCGGCGAUUUCCGAAUGGGGAAACCCAGUGUGACUCGUCACACUAUCAUUAACUGAAUCCAUAGGUUAAUGAGGCGAACCGGGGGAACUGAAACAUCUAAGUACCCCGAGGAAAAGAAAUCAACCGAGAUUCCCCCAGUAGCGGCGAGCGAACGGGGAGGAGCCCAGAGCCUGAAUCAGCAUGUGUGUUAGUGGAAGCGUCUGGAAAGGCGCGCGAUACAGGGUGACAGCCCCGUACACAAAAGCGCAUGUGCUGUGAGCUCGAUGAGUAGGGCGGGACACGUGGUAUCCUGUCUGAAUAUGGGGGGACCAUCCUCCAAGGCUAAAUACUCCUGACUGACCGAUAGUGAACCAGUACCGUGAGGGAAAGGCGAAAAGAACCCCGGCGAGGGGAGUGAAAAAGAACCUGAAACCGUGUACGUACAAGCAGUGGGAGCCCCACCACUAAGCCAGUGGUGAACUCCACAUACGCAUCCUUUGCUGAGGAUACGGUUAACGGAGCGAAAGCGACGUUCAACCGCAAAAGAAGCAGAGGGGGCUUAGUGGUGGGGUGACUGCGUACCUUUUGUAUAAUGGGUCAGCGACUUAUAUUCUGUAGCAAGGUUAACCGAAUAGGGGAGCCGUAGGGAAACCGAGUCUUAACCGGGCGUUAAGUUGCAGGGUAUAGACCCGAAACCCGGUGAUCUAGCCAUGGGCAGGUUGAAGGUUGGGUAACACUAACUGGAGGACCGAACCGACUAAUGUUGAAAAAUUAGCGGAUGACCUGUGGCUGGGGGUGAAAGGCCAAUCAAACCGGGAGAUAGCUGGUUCUCCCCGAAAGCUAUUUAGGUAGCGCCUCGUGAAUUCAUCUCCGGGGGUAGAGCACUGUUUCGGCUAGGGGGCCAUCCCGGCUUACCAACCCGAUGCAAACUGCGAAUACCGGAGAAUGUUAUCACGGGAGACACACGGCGGGUGCUAACGUCCGUCGUGAAGAGGGAAACAACCCAGACCGCCAGCUAAGGUCCCAAAGUCAUGGUUAAGUGGGAAACGAUGUGGGAAGGCCCAGACAGCCAGGAUGUUGGCUUAGAAGCAGCCAUCAUUUAAAGAAAGCGUAAUAGCUCACUGGUCGAGUCGGCCUGCGCGGAAGAUGUAACGGGGCUAAACCAUGCACCGAAGCUGCGGCAGCGACGCUGAUGCGUUGUUGGGUAGGGGAGCGUUCUGUAAGCCUGCGAAGGUGGCCUGUGAGGGUUGCUGGAGGUAUCAGAAGUGCGAAUGCUGACAUAAGUAACGAUAAAGCGGGUGAAAAGCCCGCUCGCCGGAAGACCAAGGGUUCCUGUCCAACGUUAAUCGGGGCAGGGUGAGUCGACCCCUAAGGCGAGGCCGAAAGGCGUAGUCGAUGGGAAACGGGUUAAUAUUCCCGUACUUGGUGUUACUGCGAAGGGGGGACGGAGAAGGCUAUGUUGGCCGGGCGACGGUUGUCCCGGUUUAAGCGUGUAGGUGUGUGUUCCAGGUAAAUCCGGUUCACUUUAACACUGAGGCGUGAUGACGAGGCACUACGGUGCUGAAGCAACAAAUGCCCUGCUUCCAGGAAAAGCCUCUAAGCAUCAGGUAACAUCAAAUCGUACCCCAAACCGACACAGGUGGUCAGGUAGAGAAUACCAAGGCGCUUGAGAGAACUCGGGUGAAGGAACUAGGCAAAAUGGUGCCGUAACUUCGGGAGAAGGCACGCUGACACGUAGGUGAAGUGAUUUACUCAUGGAGCUGAAGUCAGUCGAAGAUACCAGCUGGCUGCAACUGUUUAUUAAAAACACAGCACUGUGCAAACACGAAAGUGGACGUAUACGGUGUGACGCCUGCCCGGUGCCGGAAGGUUAAUUGAUGGGGUCAGCGCAAGCGAAGCUCCUGAUCGAAGCCCCGGUAAACGGCGGCCGUAACUAUAACGGUCCUAAGGUAGCGAAAUUCCUUGUCGGGUAAGUUCCGACCUGCACGAAUGGCGUAAUGAUGGCCAGGCUGUCUCCACCCGAGACUCAGUGAAAUUGAACUCGCUGUGAAGAUGCAGUGUACCCGCGGCAAGACGGAAAGACCCCGUGAACCUUUACUAUAGCUUGACACUGAACAUUGAGCCUUGAUGUGUAGGAUAGGUGGGAGGCUUUGAAGUGUGGACGCCAGUCUGCAUGGAGCCGACCUUGAAAUACCACCCUUUAAUGUUUGAUGUUCUAACGUGGACCCGUGAUCCGGGUUGCGGACAGUGUCUGGUGGGUAGUUUGACUGGGGCGGUCUCCUCCUAAAGAGUAACGGAGGAGCACGAAGGUUGGCUAAUCCUGGUCGGACAUCAGGAGGUUAGUGCAAUGGCAUAAGCCAGCUUGACUGCGAGCGUGACGGCGCGAGCAGGUGCGAAAGCAGGUCAUAGUGAUCCGGUGGUUCUGAAUGGAAGGGCCAUCGCUCAACGGAUAAAAGGUACUCCGGGGAUAACAGGCUGAUACCGCCCAAGAGUUCAUAUCGACGGCGGUGUUUGGCACCUCGAUGUCGGCUCAUCACAUCCUGGGGCUGAAGUAGGUCCCAAGGGUAUGGCUGUUCGCCAUUUAAAGUGGUACGCGAGCUGGGUUUAGAACGUCGUGAGACAGUUCGGUCCCUAUCUGCCGUGGGCGCUGGAGAACUGAGGGGGGCUGCUCCUAGUACGAGAGGACCGGAGUGGACGCAUCACUGGUGUUCGGGUUGUCAUGCCAAUGGCACUGCCCGGUAGCUAAAUGCGGAAGAGAUAAGUGCUGAAAGCAUCUAAGCACGAAACUUGCCCCGAGAUGAGUUCUCCCUGAGACUUUAGGUCUCCUGAAGGAACGUUGAAGACGACGACGUUGAUAGGCCGGGUGUGUAAGCGCAGCGAUGCGUUGAGCUAACCGGUACUAAUGAACCGUGAGGCUUAACCUUACAACGCCGAAG
rnacentral:rRNA from 3 species